GGUGCUCAGCGCCCGACCUCCAACCCUUUGUUGUUAAAACUACCUUGUUGCUUUGGCGGGACCGCUCGGUCUCGAGCCGCUGGGGAUUCGUCCCAGGCGAGCGCCCGCCAGAGUUAAACCAAACUCUUGUUAUUAAACCGGUCGUCUGAGUUAAAAUUUUGAAUAAAUCAAAACUUUCAACAACGGAUCUCUUGGUUCUCGCAUCGAUGAAGAACGCAGCGAAAUGCGAUAAGUAAUGUGAAUUGCAGAAUUCAGUGAAUCAUCGAAUCUUUGAACGCACAUUGCGCCCCUUGGUAUUCCGAGGGGCAUGCCUGUUCGAGCGUCAUUACACCACUCAAGCUAUGCUUGGUAUUGGGUGCCGUCCUUAGUUGGGCGCGCCUUAAAGACCUCGGCGAGGCCUCACCGGCUUUAGGCGUAGUAGAAUUUAUUCGAACGUCUGUCAAAGGAGAGGACUUCUGCCGACUGAAACCUUUAUUUUUCUAGGUUGACCUCGGAUCAGGUAGGGAUACCCGCUGAACUUAAGCAUAUCAAUAAGCGGAGGAAA
rnacentral:rRNA from 1 species